GAUGAACGCUGGCGGCGUGCCUAAUACAUGCAAGUAGAGCGAAUGGAUUAAGAGCUUGCUCUUAUGAAGUUAGCGGCGGACGGGUGAGUAACACGUGGGUAACCUGCCCAUAAGACUGGGAUAACUCCGGGAAACCGGGGCUAAUACCGGAUAACAUUUUGAACCGCAUGGUUCGAAAUUGAAAGGCGGCUUCGGCUGUCACUUAUGGAUGGACCCGCGUCGCAUUAGCUAGUUGGUGAGGUAACGGCUCACCAAGGCAACGAUGCGUAGCCGACCUGAGAGGGUGAUCGGCCACACUGGGACUGAGACACGGCCCAGACUCCUACGGGAGGCAGCAGUAGGGAAUCUUCCGCAAUGGACGAAAGUCUGACGGAGCAACGCCGCGUGAGUGAUGAAGGCUUUCGGGUCGUAAAACUCUGUUGUUAGGGAAGAACAAGUGCUAGUUGAAUAAGCUGGCACCUUGACGGUACCUAACCAGAAAGCCACGGCUAACUACGUGCCAGCAGCCGCUGUAA
rnacentral:rRNA from 1 species